rnacentral:rRNA from 1 species
UAAAUCUGCCCUCGAGUGGGGGGAUAACUCACCGAAAGGUGAGCUAAUACCGCAUAAGACCACAAGAACAUAAGUUCAAGGGGUUAAAGGAGCAAUUCGCUCGAGGAUGAGUCCGCGCCGGAUUAUGGUAGUUGGCGGAGUAACAGCCCACCAAGCCUAUGAUCCGUAGCUGGUCUGAGAGGAUGAUCAGCCACACUGGAACUGAGACACGGUCCAG